GGAUAGGGUGAUAGGGAAGGUGGGGAAGGUGGGGAUGAAGAUGAUGGAGGUUGGGUGACAGGGGAAUUGGAAUUUGGAGUUGGGGCAUAGGGGUAGGGUGAUUGAGAUGUUGGGGAAGGAGUGUUUGGAGGUGACGGAAUGUAGGGAGGUUGGGAAAUGGGAGAAGGAGUGGUGGAUGGUGGUGUGGAAAUGUAAGAAGGUGGCUGGGAUAUUGGGGAAGGAGUGGUGGAUGGUGGUGUGGAAAUGUAAGGUGGCUGGGAUAUUGGGGAAGGAGUGGUGUUUGGAGGUGAUGGGAUGUAAGGAGGCUGAGAUAUUGGGGAAGGAGUGUUUGGAGGUGAUGGGGUGUAAGGAGGCUGGGAAGUAGGAGAAGGAGUAUUGGGUUGUGGAGGCACAUAAGGUGACUGAGAAAAGGGUGAUGGGGUUAUUGGAACAAAGGGUGGUUGAUGAUGAGGGGAAGGGGUGUUUGGAGGUAGAGGAGCAUGGGGUGGAUGGUUAUUAGGGGAAGGAGCAUAAGUGGGAGAAGGUGUGUUGGGAGGUAUGGGAGCAUAGGGUGGUUGAGCUUUGGGAGGAAAGGGAAGAUUAGUAGGAGGUGAAGGUGCUUCUGGAGGAGUAUAAACAGGGGGAGGAGUUUGAUGAGGUGGAUAAGGAGCUUUUGGAGGAGAAUAUGGAGGAGGCUCUCUCACAGCCAACACCACAAUAAUAAGUUUCUGACCCUUCUCACAAUUAUAAUCUUUUCCACUGAUGAAAUAAAAGGGACCCGAACGAUCAAACUGAAACUGGGAGGCACCAUCCUCAAACUUCUUGAUCGGGUUCUUCUUGUUACAUUUCUCAUAAUCCUCUUUGUUCACCACCAAAACCGAGUCCGAUCCCUUCUUGUACUUAAAAACUAUGAACAGGAAAAAACAUACAAGUUAAAAGCAUUCAUUCAGAAGGCAGAAAAAAAACUGGAAAGCUUUAGAAUGAAAAUGAACUGACCAAGAGUGUCACUGACUUGGAACCUCAUCCUUUCAGCCCAGUGAUUGUAAUUCUCAGAAGGGUACAAAAGCCACCCAUCUUUUCCACCAACGUUGAAGGUGUAUGCCUGAGACCCCGAGAGGAGACUGAAAAGAAACGACAAGAGACAAAAAACACUAAUCCGAAGCUCCAUGUUGCAGAGAGAGAGAGGAGAGAGAGAAGGAAGAGAGGUGUAGAAAGAAGUGAUGAAAUGGAUUGAUAUAAAGAAAGUGUUGUCCUUGGUUACCGUUGUUGGGGUGCUUGUAGUGUAGGACCAGCGAAGCGUGUUAAACGCGGUGGGGGGGUUUACGUGGGAAGACUAAGACUUACAUGUGGGCAAAUGAUAGAGAAAGAGAAAUUAAAGUUUGAGAAAGUUUGUUUAAUAUAAUAAUAUAUAAUAUGCAGCUACGUGCCACACUUCCCAGCACUGCCAUCUAUCACCAUUCGGACUCAUUUUAUUUUGAAAUUUCCAACCUCACCGAUGCUAUAUGCUUUCUACACAUUAAAAUGUUUCAAAAACAAUAAUAAUAGAAAGAAAACCAAAUCACGGAACUCUAUUGUUUCUGGUAUAUCCAUAUGCUACACUAUUCCGAUUCUCAUUUCAGACCCAUUAAUAAUUCUGCUAUUCCAUGCUUAGAUUGUUCCAAAUCAUAUACUGUAUCAAACAGAGACAGGGACAAAUUUUAAUAGGUUCUUGCUGAUUAACAAAUAUUAAAUUGUUCUCUAUCUUUUGUUCACAUAUAACCUGUGAAGAAUAAAUAGACGGAUUUUAAUUUUUUUCAUAAAGAUUAAAUAUGAAAAUGGUGUGUGUCUGCUUUGAGAGAGAUUAGCAACUAUUGGAAGAGCAUUUGGAUCGUCAAUCUACAGUUAUGCCUUUGGUCCACAAUGACUAUAAUAAAAUUUGAUUUAUUUAAGAAAGAGUAAACGAUAAUUAAGUUUCCAAAGAAAUUAAAUAUUAUUUUAAUUUCACUGUAUUUUAUUAUUAAGUUUUACAAAAUUAUUUUAUUAAUAAAAAAUAUCUUAAAGACCAAUUCCACAUGAACUUAGAUAUUAUUUUAUCAUAAAACUACAGUUUUCUGGAUCAAUUUGAAAAAGUAAUAAAAAUUUAUACUUUUUCAAUAAUUUUAGGUAUAAGUAUCUUGUCAUAUCAGUUAGAAAUGUUAGAAAUGGUCAUGAAAAAAAUAUUAUUAAAAAAAUAUAAAAUAUUAAGUUGAACGUUUAAAUAUGUUUUUUUUAUGUAUUUUUACUUAAAAAUAGCUUCUUUUUAGUUUAAAUUUUUAGAAUUUUUAGUUAUUUGUAAUAAGGGGACUAGAAUAAGUUUUUAUUAAUAUUUUUUUAUAUAAUAAUAAGUUAGUAUGAAAAUAUUUUAUCAUUCUGAUACAUAUUAAAAAUCUAUUCUGAUACGUAUUAAAAACCGGUUUAUCAUGUAGAAAAAAAUAUGAUAAAAGAUUAAUUUCAAUAGUUUCUUUAUUAUAAUAGUCUAAAAUUUAGAAUAGAAAAUAAAAAUUUCUGUGAAAUAAAAGUACAUUUAAUCCUUAAAUUUAUAAAGUUUUUAAUUAAUAAAAUAUAAUUUUAAAAUUAGUUUUUAUUAUUUAAAAUUAAAGGCAAAAUUAGUCAUUUACUAGUUAAGAAAUAAACCUCUAGUCGUCAUCCUUUGUUUUUUUUUUAGUCAAAACGUAUGCUUUGUUUUGCUUUUUCAUAGACUGUUUGGUACGUGAAAUUGACUACCCAGUUAGGAGUUAAUCAUCACAUCCACUUUACAUCAUGUUUUGCUUUUAUUAACAUUUUUAUUAAGUGAUUAGGUUUUUUCAUUAGAUUAGAUGACAAGUGUAAAGUAUUUAAAAUUUGUAUGAAUAACUAAUUUCUAUCAUUUACCCACUUUUAGAAUUUUAGUAGAAUAUACAAGUAUUACUUAAUAAAAAUAUUUUAUAUUAAAAAAAAUCUAUAGUUUUAAAAAUUGGAUUCCUUUUAUAAGAAAACAUUAAAGCCAAACACACCUUAAUUAUUACAUUUUGUGGAUGAAUGUUGACCUAUUUAAAAUUUGUAUGAAUAACUAAUUUCUAUCAUUUACCCACUUUUAGAAUUUUAGUAGAAUAUACGAGUAUUACUUAAUAAAAUUAUUUUAUAUUAAAAAAAAUUCUACAGUUUUAAAAAUUGGAUUCCUUUUAUAAGAAAACAUUAAAGCCAAACACACCUAAUUAUUUCAUUUUGUGGAUGAAUGUUGACCUAUUUAAAAUUUGUAUUAAUAACUAAUUUCUAUCAUAUACCCACUUUUAGAAUUUUAGUAGAAUAUACGAGUAUUACUUACUUAAACUAUUUUAUAUUAAAAAAAAGUCUAUAGUUUUAAAAAUUGAAUUUCUUUUAUAAGAAAACAUUAAAGCCAAACACACCUUAAUUAUUACAUUGUGUGGAUAAAUGUUGACCUAUUUAAAAUUUGUAUUAAUAACUAAUUUCUAUCAUAUACCCACUUUUAGAAUUUUAGCAGAAUAUGCGAGUAUUACUUAAUUAAAUUAUUUUAUAUUAAAAAAUAGUUAUAGUUUUAAAAAUUGGAUUCCUUUUAUAAGAAAAUAUUAAAGCCAAACUCACCUUAAUUAUUACAUUUUGUGGAUGAUUGUUGACCUAGAGAAAGCCAUUAGAAUCCCAUCUAAUCUUGUACUUGGAAUUUAUUGGUGAAGAGUAGAAAUUUCCGAUAUCUGAAUAACAUUAUUGUUUGGUACAAUAACGUUACCAUAUUUUAAAUUAGUAUAUAUGAUGGGACAUGAACACUUAUUUCCUCUAAAAUCUUUAUUUUAAAAAAUCUCCAAGUAAAUUACUAAAAUGACAUCAUUUUUCAUUGAAACUCAAAUAUGCCUUUCAAAUAUCAUUCACAUUUUGUUCCUAUCUUAAAUAAUCUUUUCCAUUUAUACAAUGUGUGAUAUCACUCACUUAUCUUAUUUAAUUAACAUCUAGGUACUUAAUAGUAUACUACUAAUUAAAACGCGUCACUUUACCGUUAGUAUUUAAUAUUAGGUUAUAGGCAUGCUAAGAAUGAUUAUAAGUGUAUUAUUAAUAUUAACUCUCCCUCCCUAAUAUGGCUGUAUCAUUUCUUCCUCUCAUUGAUUGUUUAUUCAAUAUCAAUCUUGUACUCUCUUUUCUUAUAUUUUUUAGUAAAAAUAAACAUAAAACAUUUAUUUUAAUUGUCACAAAUUUGUGUAUUUUAAAAUGAGUUAUAUAGUAAUGCAUUCACAUUAUACAAUAAUUUUAUUUUAUCAUAUAAUAUUAAAUAAAUAAUAACUCUUAAUAAUUUCUAAAAUAGAUAUUGAUAAUUUCAUUUUAUCAUAAAAUGGUUGUUUAUAGUGAUUUACUAUUCACAGACAACCGAGAAUAUGGGGUAAAAUGGGAGAAUGAAGGGAAGGUCAAGAAAAAUUAGUUAAUGUGAUUUUUUCAAUUUUACCAUUUUUUUAUAUAUUAAUUAUUACAUAAAUUUAAUUAACAUUAAUAUUUUAAUAAAAUAAUAAUAAUUAAUAAAAUUUGAUGGAGGUGUGCCUUCAUCCGUAGCUUUUCUUUGGUGGAAUUGGCGGAAACAUUCAUGGAAGAAGACGAGCAAGGAACUCAUGAAGAGUGGUGGACUCCUUGAAGGUGCAUGCUAGGUGUGGAGAGUGAGUGGUGAGGCCAUCUCACUUGGCAAAGAUGAAGAAUGAAGAUUAAAAUGUCUAUCCUAGAGAGGUAGGAGACAAGAAGCAAAAUUGGCACAAUUUUGGCAGCAAUUUGCUCGAGAAUAAUCUUGCUAUUUCAUGACCCAAACACCUCCUUAUAUAGGAUUGGAGGGUCAGAAUUGGAAGAGUCAAAUACAAAUGAAAUACAAACUAAAUAAAAUGUGAUGCAUUUGGCGCCUAAUUUGAGACUUAGCACAUGGAGCAUGUGAUGGAAAGCUUUUAAGCACAUGGAACAUGUGCUUUCUUCUCCAAGGCUUAGUCAUAACCGACCUUGGUUAAUUUAGGUGUUCAAAGAACCCUAAUUUAACCAAGGUUGGUUUUUAGGUACCAAAUUUCACCUAAAAAGAAAUUACAAGUAAAAUUUCCUAUUUUACUUUAACAAAAUUAAAUCCUACUUCUUACACUAGAGUUUAUGGCAUUUUAAACACGUACAAGAAGGUUUCUCUGCCAUCAGUAGCAGUAUUUCAAUCAUUUUGAUCCUUCUUGGCCAUGACUCUAGUGGUAGGCCCAAAUCUUCUCUUUGUUGGGCUUGCACUUGGACUUGUCCUUGGGCCUCUUCCAUCAUCCCCUCCCUCUUGAAAAGGAUUUGUCCUCAAAUCCAAUGCUUCUAUUUCUUCUUCUUCAUUACUUCCUACAAAAGGCAUUAAGUCCACAACAUUAAAAGUAUGAUGAACUCCAUAUUCUUUUGGUAAAUCAAGAAUAUAUGCAUUGUUGUUGAUUCUUUUGAGGACUUGGAAGGGUUCGUCACCUUGGGGACUAAGUUUGGACUUCCUCUUAGUUGGAAAUCUAUCUUUCCUAAGAUGAAACCAAAUUAAAUCUCCUUCUUCAAAAAUUAUCUCUCUCUUCCCCUUAUUGUUAUGUUUUGUAUAUUUCUCAGUUUGCUGAUGUAUUUGUUCUUUAACCCUCUCAUGCAUUUUCUUAACAAAUUCAGCUUUUAUUACUCAUUCCUUAUGCACAAAUUCUUGUGGAUUAGGAAGGGGCAACAAAUCUAAAGGAGUAAGAGGAUUAAAUCCAUAAACAACCUCAAAUGGAGAAAUAUUAGUAGUUUUAUUAACUACUCUAUUGUAUGCAAACUCAAUAUGAGAAAGAUACUCAUCCCAAGAUUUAUGGUUGCCUUUCAUGACUGCCCUAAGCAUAGUACCAAGAGAUCGAUUUACAACUUCGGUUUGUCCAUCCGUUUGAGGAUGACAAGAAGUUGAAAAUUCAAUUUGGUUUCAAGUCUUGCCCAAAGGGUUCUCCAAAAAUGGCUUAUAAAUUUUGGAUAUCUAUCGGAGACUAUGCUUCUAGGUAGUCCAUGAAGUCUUACCACAUCUCUAAAGAAAAGUCUAGAGAUAUUAUUUGCAUCAUCCACUUUGUGACAUGGUAUAAAAUGUGCCAUUUUACUAAAACGAUCCACAACCACAAAAAUGGAAUCAGAACCUCUUGCAGUCUUAGGAAGUCCAAGAAUAAAAUCCAUACUAAUGUCUUCCCAUGGAGCACUUGCAAAAGGUAAAGGAGUAUAGAGUCCAUGAGGAAUUGUUUUAGACUUAUCUUUUAAACAUGAUAUACAUCUAAAACAAUGUCUUUGGACGUCUCUUAUCAUAUGUGGCCAAAAGAAUUUUCCUUUUAAAAGCUCUAGAGUCUUAUCAACUCCAAAAUGGCCCAUGAGACCUCCUUCAUGAGAUUCUUUUACAAGAAGUUUUCUAUGUGUUCCUUGAGGUAUACAAAGUUUUCCUUCUUUAAAAAGAUACCCCUCAGACACAAAAUCCUCCUUUUUCUCUAUGUUCUCAUUUAACAAAGAUGGAUGUAAAAUCAUGAUCUUCUUUGUAGAGUUCAAUUAUGUUUUCAAAUCCAAGAAUUUGGGCUCCAAGUUUUGAAAACAGGGCAUGUCUCCUUGAGAGAGCAUCGACCAUAAUGUUUGUACUACCCUUCUUGUAUUUGAUAACAUAAGGAAAUUGUUCAAGAAGUUUCAUCCAUUUUGCAUGUCGUUUGUUCAACUUAUGUUGACCUUUCAAAUAUUUUAAAGGCUCAUGAUCACUAUGAAUGACAAAUUCUUUAGAGACUAGAUAGUGCUCCCAAGUCUUUAAGGUCCUCACAAGUGCAUAAAGCUCUUUAUCAUAGGUGGGGUAGUUGAGAGUGGCUCCAUGAAUUUUUUCGCUAAAGUAAGCAAUUGGAUGUCCACCUUGCAACAACACGACACCUAUGCCUACUCCCGAUGCAUCACACUCUAGCUCAAAAGUUUUUGCAAAAUUUGGUAAAGAUAGAAUGGGUGCAUUAGUGAGUUGAGCUUUUAGCCUCUUGAAGGCUUGAUCUUGCUUCUCGGUCGAACAAAAUGGAGUGUCUUUCUUCACUAACUCAUUGAGUGGCUGAUGUAACCCAAAAAUACAUAAAGAUGACCAAGGAUGUUAUACUUGAAGGGUCAUCUAAAUAAGGAAAUAAGAACUUCAUCAAUAGAAGAAAUGGACGAGGCCCAAAGCAUUUAAAGUUCUUCUUAUUGUCUUCUCAAAAGAUGAGGCCCAAGCCCAAUUAAUAUCUUUUGUAAUAUUUUUAGAAUAGUUUCAAGAUAGAACAUUAAAAGGGAAGUAAUAGGAAAAGUCACUUUUCUAGAAUGAGGAAGUGACUUGAAAAAGGGUGGCAUUUACCUUGUCUUUUCAUAUGCCUUGCCUUUUCAUUUACAAGUGACUCUUCAUGUAUUUUUACCUUUUCAUGACCGGUUCUCUAUGCCUAUAUAAAGAGGAGCCUUGCUUUUGUAAACACAAGUUGAAUCUUUUAGUAAAGAAAGUAUACCAAAUUGGUGUGAGAGAGUUUGUGAGACUAGUUCUCCUCUCUUCUUCCUAGUCUUAUCUUGGGAGAUUCUUGGAACUCUCAAGUGGCGGCAUCCACUCAUCUUGAAGCUUCUCCACCCUUCAAGUGGCGUGAACAUUCCAAGGGUCAUCAACCACAUAAGUUUCUUCUACCUUUUCAUGUUCUUCUUCCAUUUCCAUGUCAAUCAAAACUAUAAAACAUGUGUCUUUGUUGUUCUUGAUGUUUCAAGCAGUAGAAAUGUGUUAGGUUCUGCUUUUAAUUGGUUCAUUGUAAUUUCUCGCUGUUGUAUUCGGUUUAUAUGUGCUUAAUUGAUAUUUCAAUCGGUGCAUUUGUCUCCUUUUCACAAAUCAAUCGGUUCAUGUUCUUCUUAUGGGUUUCUAUGCGGUUUUGGCUUGGUUUUUGUGUUCUUGAAUGAUUAUAGAAUCUUGAUCCAAUUCUUGAAAAUGUCUUUUCAUAUACCAACUCAUAUCAGUGGUGAAGCUAGACUUGAGAAGUUAGGCACAAAUCUUCUAUAAAAGCUUGCUAAUCCAUGAAAACUUCUAACUUCCCCUACAUUUUGUGGAAUUGGCCAUUCUUGGAUGGCUUUGAUUUUUUCGGGGUCAACAUGUACCCCAUUUUUGUUAACUAUAAAUCCUAAAAAUACUACACUAUCAACACAAAAAGUACAUUUAUCUCUAUUAGCAAACAAACUAUUAUUCUUAAGCACUAGGAGAACUUCCCUAAAGCGACUUAGGUGAGAUUCUAAACUUUUGCUAUAUACUAAAAUAUCAUCAAACUAAACUACUACAUAUUUACCUACACAAUCCCUUAAGACAUGAUUCAUUAGCCUCAUGAGAGUGCUAGGAGCAUUAGUGAGCUCAAAAGGCAUCACUAACCAUUCAUAUAGUCCAAAUUUGGUUUUAAAAGCGAUUUCCCACUCAUCACCUUCUUUAAUUCUAAUUUGGUGAUAUCCACUUCUAAGAUCAAUUUUAGAAAAUAUGAUGGACCCAUGCAAUUCAUCAAGCAUGUCAUCUAGUCUUGGAAUUGGAUGCCUAUACUUGAUGGUGAUGUUAUUGAUGGCUCUACAAUCACAACACAUUCUCCACUUGCCAUCUUUUUUGGGCACCAACAAGACAGGUACAACACAAGGGCUUAGGAUCUUUUGAACCCAACCCUUAUCCAACAAAUCAUGCACUUGUGAUUCUGUCUCCUUAGUUUCUUCAGAAUUAGUUCUAUAGGCUGGUCUAUUUGGUAGACUAGCUCCUGGAACUAAAUUUAUUUGAUGUUCAAUUCCUCUAAAAGGGGGAAGUCCACUAGAGCCUUCCUUAGAGAAUAUGUCAUCAAAGUCUUUUAAAAGAUCUUUUACUUGAGGAGGUAGAACACAUGUCUCAGUAAGCGUAGCAAUGCAGGUAAGUGUUCCUUUACAAAGUAGGAGGUUUGAAGGUUCUUCAAAAAGAAGUAUUUUUUCGAUCUUAUUUUCAAAUUUUUCUUCUUCUUUCUGAAUGACCUUGUGGGAAGGAACACUCUUUUCCCAUGCCUCUUUUUCCCUAAGGGUUUUUUCUUGGUUUUUUACUCUAUUUUUCUCUUCCUCUCUUUGUUUUCUCAUUUGUAGUUGGUCCUUUAUCACUUGGGAAAAUGAUAAGGGAUAAAGUACAAACUUCUUUUCUUUGUGAGUGAAAGUAAUCUCAUUGGUAAGACCAUUGUGGUUUUCUUAUCAAAUUGCCAAGGUCUUCCCAACAAAAUAUGACAAGCUUUCAUGGGCACUACAUCACACAAAACUUUAUCCUUAUAGUUCCCCACAGAAAACUCGACUUUCACUUGUUGAUCUACAGUUAAAUCCCCAUCUUCAUUGAUCCAUUGAAGUUUGUAAGGUUUUGGAUGAGGGAUUAACUGUAGAUUCAACUUUUCAACCAUCCUAGCGCUACAACAAUUGCAGCAAGAACCACUAUCCACAAUGAGAGAGCACACAUUUUCAAAAACUUUACACCUUGUGUGAAAUAUGUUCUCCCUUUGUGUCUCUUGGCUCAUACUAGGUUGAUUGUUGAGGGUUCUACGGAUCAUCAUUAAUUCACCCUCACAUGGAUAAGCCCCUUCAUUAUCUUUUUUUUCUUCUUCCCCACUAGCUUCAUUACUUUAGCUGCUAUAUACUGUUGGGUCUAUUAGUGUCUAAGUUCAAGAGGGGAGGGGUGAAUUGAGAUUAUAAAAUUUUCGCAAGACCACACAAUUUUUCAGUAUUCCAGAGGCAAAAAGAACAGAUUGUUUUUACAUGAAACAGAUUGAUUCUUCAGAGCAGUCUUGGCACAAUUUGAAUUUGUUCAAUGUAAAAUUGUGAUCAACAGAGAAUUAUAACAAAAUCAGAUCAGUUUAAUAUUGUGAGGAUGAAGGAUACAGUUAUGCUUAGAAAUCAAGCAAAAUUACUCAACACAAGGUUUUGAGAGGAAUGAUCCUUUCUCAGGUUUUAAUGAAUGGACAGUUUGUUCACAAAUCACUUAAACCAUUAUAUACAGCAGCCUUGUUUAUGAUCAGAGAACUUUAACAAAUCAGGAAGAACAAUUUUCACUUAAACCCAGAAUUAACAGAUUCAAUUUCAAAAGAACAGAUUUAGUUCUUGACAGAAUUAAACAAAAAAAAAAACAGAAAUGAGUGCAGGGACGAGAAGACAAGGCACACAAGUUUUUAUACUGGUUCACUCAUACAGAGCUACAUCCAGUCUCACCUUACCCCAAGGUGGAAUUCACUAAAAAUAGUACCAAUCACUUACAAACACAGCAGUUCUUGAACACUACAAGAACAACACACACAAUGCUGAAAAACCCUAUUUCAGCACACCUUGCACUCCAAGAAACCCUAUCAAGGAGUGACUAACACUUACACCUUUACAAAACAGAAUAAAGGAAAGAUUACACCUGAAAAGAAGAUGCAAGAACCCAAAACCAGUAGUUCAAUUUGCUGCAGAACUGCACCAACACCUUCACCAAGAUCAAAGGUUUCCUAGAACAAGCACACUUGAAAAUCUCUUUGGAAAACCUUUCAAAAAUCUUUCAAUCCUUCUUCUCACAUGGAAAGUGUUUGAUCUCUGUCAAAAACGUAAUUGCUCAGCCCUACUUUCAUGUGAGAGAGACUUUUCUUUAUAUAGAAAACAGUUUCUAACUUCUUUUCAAAAAAAUAGUUGAAAAGCAGUUAUGAAAACAACAGAUUCAUUUUUGAACUUAACAGAUUUAUUUUGUGAAAACCGCCAACUCAACUAACUGAAAUAACUGUCUGAGUUGUAUCUUUGGUGCCCUAACUAACUUGUGAAAAACCUUUCAACUCACCAAAGAAUAAACCUGUUCUUUCUCAGUGAAACAGAUUAAAAUAUAGCAAACAGGCCAGCUCAACUUUAACUGAAAUAACUGUCUAAGCUUUACCUGUGGUGCCCUAACAGAAUUUUAGAAAAGCCUUUUAACAGAGAAGAAAUAAACAGAUUCUUUCUCCAUAAAACAGAUUUAUUUGUGUACUGUUUUAAAGCUGUUAAAAACAUUUUAAAAAGCUUUUCAAAAACCAUUUAACCACAUCAUGUGCUUGAUCUAGACUUGGUUAGGCAUCUAGGAUGGGUUAUUCAGCAAAAGGCAACCUUACACAAUUACAAGCCUAAUUAUAACCGAAUCUAAAACCUAUUACAAUCUUCAAAGCACUCAAGUUAUUUUCUUCAUCAAACACACAUCAAGCCUUGGUAGGGAAGAAGCUUCCUCCAACUUCAACAUAUACAUCCUUACCCCUUUAAGAAUAUAGUUCUCCUAUUUUGGCAUUGGGAAGCUAUAUGACCUCUUCCAAAGCAUUUAAAACAUUUUUUUAUCUCGGCUACGGGAUUGUGGGGUUAUCACUUCUUUAUCUAUAUUUUUGGGAGUUUCCUUAGAUCUUUCCUUUGAAGUUUCCUCCCUUUUAUACUCUCUCUUGGGAUAGGAGUUAGAAUAUGAACCUUCCCUACGACUUGAAGCUUUUCUUAAGUUUUGUUGUUCAACUUUGAUACAGAGUUGAAUUAAAUCAUUCAAGUGUCUAUAUGGUAAAAGUUAAACUCUAUCUCUAAUCUCAAGAUUGAGUCCACUCAAAAACCUUGCUAUGGUAGUGGUUUUAGACUCCCUAAUUGAGGCUCUCAUCAUGUAUAAUUCCAUUGUUUUGCCUAUAUUCCUCUACACUCAUAGUCUUUUGUUGGAGUCUUUGGAGUUUGUCCAUUAACUCCCUAUUAUAAUAGGAGGGAAUAUGGCGGCGUCUUAAGGCUCGUUUUAGUUAGUGAUCUCGGCUCAGCUAGUCCUUUCUUUCGUGAUGAACUGUUGGCUCCCCUAAGAUCAUUCUAAUACUCUAUGGGAGGGUUCUUAUGAAGGUGCCUAUCUUGCUCAAGGGCAGUCCACCAAUACAUAGCAUUACCUUGAAAGCUUAGGGUGGCUAGGGGUACUUUUCGUUCCUCACUCACUCUAUGGGAAACAAACAAUUAUUCUACCUUCAUUUCCCAAUUUAAGUAAGUUUCUACGUUUUCCAUGGAAAUAAGGUAGAUCUACCCUAACCUCCUUUUCUUGUCUUUCUCUUCUAGCUCUCCUAGGGGGUGGUUGAUAAUAGUAAUUAAUCUAAUAUUUUGUUCCCCAAAAGAUUCAUCUCCCCUAGAGCUAGAUGCAUGAGAACUUUUUUUUGAUUUAUUGUUUUCAUCCCUUUCUUUAGCCAAUUUCAAUUCUUUGAGUUGGGACUCAUUUUGCAAUUGUUUAUAUGAAAGUGAUUGAAAGUCUUGUGCUAAUUGUUUCAAAAGAGUUUUAAUAGACUCUCUAUCACUUUCACUAGAAUGAUAAGAAUGAGAAGUCAUGGUUAAAGUUAUGUGUUAAAAGCAAUUUACUAAAAGAAAUAUAGGUGGAGUAAUGUAGGUAGAUUCCCAAGAAAGGGAGGUGGAUCACUUAAGUACCAAGCCUUUCCUUGCCAGAUUCUAUCCUUCAAGACUUUCACAAACCUUUUUCUAAGUAAUUCACUUAGAACACAAUCAAGAAUGAAAACAAUUUUAAGAAAAACAAUGCAAAGCAAUUAAACAAAGCAAAACAAUUAAACAAAACAAAGUAAUUAGAUAAUACAAUUUGAAAAGAAUUGCUAUCUAGUAAGAUUUAAACUAGGCGUAUCCUAAGGUGAGGCUUCUAGGCACUUAGAACCAUUGAAGACACAUUCACCGUCUAUUACGCAAUACAAAGCAAUUAAACACUUAAUAGAAAAAUUUCUAUCUAGAAAGCUUGUAAACUAGACGUUUCCUAGGGCGAGGCUUCUUGGCACUUUGAACCUUUGAAGACACUCUCACCAUAUAAUACGCAAUUAGUCCACCAAUUAUUCAAGAUUUUGCAAGUUACAACUCAAAGAAAAUACAAAGCAAAUUGAAUUGACAAAAAUUUAGAAAUUUUUAUUCUAUGCAAUUCUUCUUUUCUUUUUGUCAUUCCUUCUUUGUGUAAGUGUUUAAACUCACUUGUUGCUGCUCUCUUGCUCAACCUCUCAAGGAUAUUUAACUUUAAAAAUUCAAAACAGCACCUACUAAGUGAUAAAGCUCUCACAAAAAAUGUUAGCUCCAAACUUAACAAGCACCUUUGAAUGAUUUAUCCACCAAGAAAUGAGGUUAACAAAAGUUAAAGCAACAAAAAUUCAAUUUGAAAUUGGAAAACAACAAAGGGAGUUGAUGUAUGACAACUUGAAAGAGUAAUUGAAAAAAUAUUGACAAGCAAACAAAAUAAGGUACUCAACAAAUGGAUAUCACACAAAUUGAACCUAGAGAAUGACACUAGAAUUGGAUUAACAAAAAUCAAAACAAUACUACAUAAUAUUAAGGUGUCAAAAAGCGUGACUUACUUGAUUUAUGUUGAGCAAAUUAUUUCAAAUUUGAAUUUGAAUUUUUAACCACAAAUAGAUCAAGAUAUUAACUAACUUUUGGCGUUGGAAUCACCAAUUAAUUGUGAUAAAAUUUUCAAAUAUGAUGAUGCUUCACCAUUUUUUUUUCGCGCCAAAAUUGCACACUGAUUGUAUUUGAUUUAUCAUUUUUUUUUCUAUUUUGAAUUUCGCUUCACUUUUUUUUUCACUUUUUUUCUAACACUUCAAACUAUUGAGAUCCAUAAUUUCAUAAUUUUUCUCCAACGAAUUUUAAUUUCAUAAACAAAAACAGCCAGCACAGAAUAAAAAACAGAGGAAGCCUAAUUCUGGAAUUAAAAACAGUUUUAAGAAACUUCAAAAACACAAUAGAAUUAAUGUAUAAUAAGUCGUGUGGAUCUAGCACACAAAUAUGAACUCAAAUCUUAAAAUGCACCAAAGGAUCAAACAAAAAAUUAUAAAUAUGGACUCAAAAAGAAAAUCAAUGAACCAAAAUUAUGAAGAAAAGUACUACAUAAAAGUGUUGACAAUUUAGGAGAAACAUGACUUGACAAAACAUCUAUGGAUUCAAAAAUCAAAAUGACUCAAACACAACAAUAUGAACCGAUUAAAAUUGCAAGAAAGACUCAAAUCUAGCAAAAUUAAAACAGCAACACCAAAACUCAAAGGAAUCCUACACAAAAUUGAAAUUAGAAGCUCAAGAACAAUUUGAACACAUUGCACUGAUUGGAUUUAUCCAAACAGCAUCUAAAACAGUUAAAAUGCAAAAACAACAAGACAAUCAAGGAUACAAGAUGAACAACACGAAAUUAUAAAGAACAACACAAAAUUAAAAUGAGAAGAAGAAGACACAUUUAGCUCUUGAAGAACCUAGGCUCAUGAUACCACUUGAUGGAGGUGUGCCUUCAUCCGUAGCUUUUCUUUACUGGAAUUGGCGGAAGCAUUCAUGGAAGAAGACGAGCAAGGAACUCAUGAAGAAUGGUGGACUCCUUGAAGGUGCAUGCUAAGUGUGGAGAGUGAGUGGUGAGGCUAUCUCACUUGGCAAAGAUGAAGAAUGAAGAUUAAAAUGUCUAUCCUAGAGAGGUAGGAGACAAGGAGCAAAAUUGGCACAAUUUUGGCAGCAAUUUGCUCGAGAAUAAUCUUGCUAUUUCAUGACCCAAGCACCUCCUUAUAUAGGAUUGGAGGGUCGGAAUUGGAAGAGUCAAAUACAAAUGAAAUACAAGCUAAAUCAAAUGUGAAGCAUUUGGCGCCUAAUUUGAGACUUAACACAUGGAGCAUGUGAUGGAAAGCUUUUAAGCACAUGGAACAUGUGCUUUCUUCUCCAAGGCUUAGUCAUAACCGGCCUUGGUUAAUUUAGGUGUUCAAAAAACCCUAAUUUAACCAAGGUUGGUUUUUAGGUACCAAAAUUCACCUAAAAAGAAAUUACAAGUAAAAUUUCCUAUUCUACUUUAACAAAAUUAAAUCCUACUUCUACACUAGAGUUUAUGGCAUUUUAAACAUGUAGAAGAAGGUUUCUCUGCCAUCAGUAUCAGUAUUCCAAUCUUGUUGAUCCUUCUUGGUCAUGGCUCUAGUGGUAAGUCGAGGUCUUCUCUUUGUUGGACUUGCACUUGGACUUGUCCUUAGGCCUCUUCCAUCAAAAUUAAUAAUAAAAUAAAAUUUUAAUACAAAAUAUUUAGUUAUUUAUAAUAAACAAAUUAAUGGUUAUAAAUAUAAUAAUAUUAUUUACAUUUAAUAUAAAAUUAUUUUCUAAUUAUAAUUUUUAUAUAAGAAUAUUUAAAUUAUUUAUUUCUACAUAAUAGUUUAUAACUUUUACAUAUAUUCAUAAUUUUUCGUGUAAAUUAUUUUUUGUCAAGUAACUCGUAUUUUUUUUCGAAAAUAAUUAUUCAAUGUUAUUGGAAAUAACUUACAUAAUUUUAAUUAACCUAAAUCUACAUAAAAAUACAUAAUAUUUGGUUAUUCUAUUUUUUUGAAACAAUGGUAAAUUUAUAAUCUUAUAAUUUACAUCUUUCAGAAAAUCAAAAUACCCUCACAACAAUGACAUCACUCACAAACUUCAAUAGAUUUUUUUCACAAAUUCACUCUAGCAUACUCCAAUCUAAACACAACGACUUUCUUCAUACUUUUCUCUCAAAUCUUUACACAUUCACUCUCUCAAAUCCUCACACUUCCCCUCCUCAAUUUAAACACAACUUAAAAAUUAUUGUUUUAAUUAGUUAACCAAUUGGACUAGAACUCGUGAGUAACAAACAUGGGUCUCAAUAGGCUGCAAUCACCAGGUAUUUUGUAACAGGAAAAAAGAGUGAUUUUGACUAAGAUAGAAAUUAAAGGAAAUAUUUUAUUUAUUAAUUUAUAAUAUAUAUAUAUAUAUAUAUAUAUAUAUAUAUAUAUAUAUAUAUAUAUAUAUAUAUUUAUUAUAUAUAUAUAUAUAUAUAUAUAUAUAUANNNNNNNNNNNNNNNNNNNNNNNNNNNNNNNNNNNNNNNNNNNNNNNNNNNNNNNNNNNNNNNNNNNNNNNNNNNNNNNNNNNNNNNNNNNNNNNNNNNNNNNNNNNNNNNNNNNNNNNNNNNNNNNNNNNNNNNNNNNNNNNNNNNNNNNNNNNNNNNNNNNNNNNNNNNNNNNNNNNNNNNNNNNNNNNNNNNNNNNNNNNNNNNNNNNNNNNNNNNNNNNNNNNNNNNNNNNNNNNNNNNNNNNNNNNNNNNNNNNNNNNNNNNNNNNNNNNNNNNNNNNNNNNNNNNNNNNNNNNNNNNNNNNNNNNNNNNNNNNNNNNNNNNNNNNNNNNNNNNNNNNNNNNNNNNNNNNNNNNNNNNNNNNNNNNNNNNNNNNNNNNNNNNNNNNNNNNNNNNNNNNNNNNNNNNNNNNNNNNNNNNNNNNNNNNNNNNNNNNNNNNNNNNNNNNNNNNNNNNNNNNNNNNNNNNNNNNNNNNNNNNNNNNNNNNNNNNNNAAUUUUAUUAAUAUUAUUUAAAUUAAUAACAUUAUUAAUUAUUGCAAUAAUGUUAUUAAUAUUAUUAACAUUAUUAAAUAUUAUUAAUAUUAUUAAUUAUUAAUAACAUUAUUAAUUAUUACAAUAAUUUUAUUAAUAUUACUAACAUUAUUAAAUAUUAUUAAUAUUAUUAAUUAUUAAUAACAUUAUUAAUUAUUACAAUAAUCUUAUUAAUAUUACUAACAAUAUUACAAUAAUUUUAUUUUUAAGUAAUUCAUAUGAAAUGACAAAAUAUUCUAUUGUAUUAAUAAAAUGAAAUAUAUUAUAUAAGGGUAGAAUCGAAAAGGUUUGUAAACAUCAAAAAAAGGUUAUAAUAAUGGACAAUUCACUUUAUAUAUAGGUAUAAAUUAUUAUUAUUAUUAUUAUUAUUAUUAAUAUUAUUAAAUAUUAUUAAUAUUGUUAAUAUUGUUAAUAUUAUUAAUAUUAUUAAUUGUAUUAAAUAUUAUUAAUAUUAUUAAAUAUUAUUAAUAUCAUAAAAUAUUAUUAAUAUCAUAAAAUAUUAUUAAUAUCAUUAAAUAUUAUUAAUAUCAUUAAAUAUUAUUAAUAUCGUUAAAUAUUAAUAAUAUGAUGAAAUAUUAAAAAUAAUAUUAAAUAUUACUAAUAUUUUUAAAUAUUACUAAUAUUUUUAAAUAUUACUAAUAUUUUUAAAUAUUACUAAUAUUUUUAAAUAUUACUAAUAUUUUUAAAUAUUACUAAUAUUUUUAAAUAUUACUAAUAUUUUUAAAUAUUACUAAUAUUUUUAAAUAUUACUAAUAUUUUUAAAUAUUACUAAUAUUUUUAAAUAUUACUAAUAUUUUUAAAUAUUACUAAUAUUAUUAAAUAUUACUAAUAUUAUUAAAUAUUAUUAAGUAUUACUAAUAUUAUUAAAUAUUAUUAGUAUUAUUAAUAUUAUAAAUACAUUAAUGAUAUUAAUAUUAUUUAUAUUAUUAAUAUUAUAAAUAUAUUAGUGCUAUUAAUAUUUUUUUAUUAAUAUUAUUAUUACUAAUAUUAUUAAUUUUAUUCAUGUUAUUAAUAUCAUUAAUAAGAUUAAUAUUACUAAUACUAUUAAUAUUAUUAGUAACUAGCGGGAACACAGGCACUCACGUGCCUGUAUAUCCGCAUUUUUCAUUUUUACUAUUUAUAUAUUCAUAUAAUUUUAAUAAAUAUUAAAUUAUAUGAGAAGAUGUGUAAAUUAUCUAAAUGCAUCAUUGAUAAUAGUUUUAUUAAGAUUUGAUGUUAAUUUUUUAUAUUUUCAUUUUAUUGUUUUUGAAUAUUAAAUUUUGAUUUAACUUGGGUGUAAUCUUGAACUUUGUAAGGUUAUCAAGAUUAAAAUUAAGGUUUAAAAAAAUGGACCAGCAAACAAUGUCAAAACAUAAUGCAAAUGGUUGUAUGUUGGAAGUUGUAGAAUCUAUCACCAUAUCAAUUGAAUUCACAUCUUCCAUGGCAAAGAAGUGGAAAAAAAAUAAAAUAAUAAACUAAAUACAAAUUACCAAACUUCCAACUUAUGUAAUAUCUAAUAGAUCAAAGCACCAGUAGACAUAAAAACUUUGCCCGCAAAGCUGGGCUUAGGAUUCAUACAAAAAUAUAAAAUAAUUAAGAAAGCAAUAGAAACAAAAAUGUUCAAAUCCUAUAACAAUGAGACACGUCUCUGCUUCGAACGCUUUGGGAAGUGCGAGAAGGAGGAAGCAAUGGUGGUUGUUGUUGUACAGUGGUGAUUGAAGAGGGACUAAGAUGGGUGAGAGUAGGAGAAGAACAUGGAGCGUGAAGGAAGAAGGUUCAAAAUGUGUCAAAAUUUAUGAGCAUUUUUUUUUUGGAUGUAACGGGUGAAAACUACUCCUUAUAAGGAAGUGGAAGAAAGUGGGAUAACCGCUCAACUACUCCUUAUAAGGGAGUGAAUGUAACGGGUGAAAACUACUCCUUCACAAGAAAGUGGAUGUAAAUGGUGACGGUGAAAACUACUGAAGAAAGUGGUAACCGCUCAGUAAUAAUCAAAUUGUUGUCACUGCUCACAUUUCCUAAUAUUUAUUUCUCUCUCAUAAAACAAACACUCCCUCUCAUUAUGCAAUUAAUUUUCAAAAUAAAUUAUCUCUUUCAAUUCAAACGGUUGCUCCAUUUAUUUCAAAUAUUUUAUUAAAUUUAUUUCUCUCUCAUACAACAAACACUCUCUCAUUAUGCAAUUAAUUUUCAAAAUAAAUUAUCUCUUUCAAUUCAUAACCACUCCUCCACCUCUCUCUCAAUUCAUAACCGUUCCUCCACCUCUCUUUCAAUUCAUAACUGUUCCUCCACAUCUCUUUCAAUUCAAAACCGCUUUUCCACCUCUCUUUCAAUUCAAAACCGUCCCACUACGUAUACCAAAUAUUGUAGAAAAAAUAAGAAAGGGACCAUAAUACAAUAAUAAAAUUAAAUAUUAAUAUAAGGAUAAAAUGGGAAAAAAAUUAAGAGCAGUUAAGAGGGGAAUAAGAAAUGACACAAUGACCAUAAUACAAUAAUAAAAUUAAAUAUUAAUAUAAGGAUAAAACAGGAAAAAAAAUUAAGAGCAAUUAAGAGGGGAAUCCCCUUUAUAUAUAGGUAUAGAUAAUAUUAUUCAUAUUAUUUAUAUUAUUAAUAUAAUACUAAUAAUAUUAUAUAUAUUAUUUUAUUUAUUAUUAUUAAUUUUAUAAUAUUAAUGGUUCUCGUCGGUUGAUUUUUUCACCAGUUGACUUUUUGUCGGUUGACUCUGGUGAUAAGCUUUAGCUCCGGUCUGUCUUCUCUGUGCUAGACUUUAAACUAGAGGGGGGAUGAAUGUUUUAAAGAGGGUUUUCGCAAACUUUUAAGUAUAGAAUGAAAUUACUUUGAGAAAACUUGAUUAAGAAUUCAGUUUGUCAAAAACACAAAGCAAUUUAGCACAACACUAGAAAAACAUUCGGUUGUUUCGCAGAAACAAUCGGUUGUUUAUACUAGUUCACAAAUAUAAACUGAAAUUAAAGAUUUCAAGGGUUCGAGAGAUUGCACACACAGGUUUAUACUGGUUCACUCUUAAACCAAGAGCUACAUCCAGUCUUCCCAGAAACCACUGGGGAAUCCACUAAGCAAUCAACCCUAGAUUACUUACAACACCACCAAAGAAGUGACCUUGAUCCCCUCAAGACACACACUUCCUUUGGCUCAGCACAAACACCACCAAGAAUGCUGAUCUUGACAACCUCAAGAGCACACAACACUUCUUAGCUUCACACACAGAGUUUACAGAAGGUACAAAAGGAUUACACUUGUUACAGAAAAGAUCUGAAAUCAAUACAAGAUGAAAAUCCUAUAUCACACUCUCUUGAUCAAAGCAAUCUUCAACUCUUCAAAAGAAAAACCAGUGAAAAACUUCAAAACCUUAUUGUACUGGACCAGAGCACUGGGCUCGGUGCUUAGGUGAUCGGACAUCGGCACCUGUGUGGAGCAGGUUAGCUUGGUGAUCUGGUCGAGUUAAUGGGCCAGUGGAACCCAAGAAUGCGUGUGUUAAAACCCGUAUAUAUGUAAGGCCUAAUCAGCGAGAAAGUGCAUGUGGUGUGUAUUUGGGUCUAGCACAAGUAAAUAUCCCCUAAAGACGCCUAGGCCCAAGAGCGCUAGGGUUUUCAGGGGUAAGCUGCAUGCAUGAUACGUAAAGGUUAGAGCGCCUACAGUGACAGAUGGGCCCCAUGAUGCUGGUAUAUGAGUUGGUACCCUGACAGCCAUGUUGUUAAGAUUAUGCACUCCAAAGAGGAAGAUUUUGCGCGAUUGUUACACUAAGAUUGUGUGACAUUAUAACAGAAUGCCCUCCCAUCAUACCUGCUUUCACUUGAGAUAAAGUCUCGUGAGAGAAGGGUUGUUACAAUGAAGUAACCUAAAAGUAGUCUAUAAAAGGGACUCGAGAUCCCUAGUAAAGGUACACCGUUUCUAAUGAAACUACUUGCUUACUUACUCAUUGUUUCUUAGCCCAGUACUGAAUUGAUUGUCGGAGUGCAAUCAACAGGUAGGGCCCCCUCUGUUUCAAAUGGAGCCGCAUUCCAACGUCCCCGGGAAAGAGCAAAUCCAGCAGAGGCAAACAGAGUCACAACCUACUCUCAGAGUCAACCGACUACUAGGUCAACCCACAAGAACAUUUGGCACCCACCGUGGGGCCUGAUAAAACUAGGUCCCAUCCACAGUUGUGAUCAGAGCUAUCAGGCGAUAUGAGGAAUACAAGACAAGGCACCGCUGGACAGGAAGAAGGCGACAACGUUACCAUGCAAUAACUCAUGGAAACUAUCCACACUCUUCAGUAGACAGUGGAGGCAUCCAAGGCUGAUUAGGAAAGGGUUUUGGUUGAGGUUCGAGCUAAGCAGGCACUUAGGAAAGACCAAUUCAGGGUCGAGUUGGAUGCGUCGCGGACAGACAACGAAGAUUUACGCAUGGCCAAUAGGAUUUGCGGAGAGAUUUGCAAUGCUUAGGGGAACACACGGUAGGGGAGCAAAACCCGCCUAUCCCAGUCAGGGCUUGCCCCAUGCCAUUCUCCCAAGCGAUCAUGAAUGUCGUGAUACCUACCAAUUUCAUGACCCCAAAAAUCACUUUCACAGGUACUGAAGACCUGGAGGCCCACAUCACAACUUUCCACACUCAGAUGAUGAUCUCGGGAGGAACAGACGCCAUGCAUUGCAAGUUAUUUAUGGGAACGUUCGUAGGCAGAACAUUGGAUUGGUUCAUCAGUCUCCCCGAUGGACACAUCACCUCGUUUGAUCAAUUCUCUACAUUUUUCAGGGAGCAGUUCAUUGUCAACAGUGCUCCACCCCCUGUCUCUUUCGACCUCUUUGAUGUGAAGCAAUACCAGGGAGAGCCCCUUAAGGACUUCCUGAAUCGGUUUGGGGCGCUGGUUGUAAAACUACCAAGGAUGAAGCUAUGAUGGUGCAUGCCUUCAGGCGGGGAAUUUUGUCAGGGCCCUUCAGCGACUCUUUAAUAACGUGUCAACCAAAGACGUUUAGCGAGAUUCGGCACCGAGUUGUUGCUCACAUCUGCACAGAGGAAUAGGAAACAAAAAAACGUGGAAGCGUUGGACCGACAAGACCUCGGGAGAGCGGUCGUGCUCAACCCAUAAGUGAUGGAGAUCAAGAUCAAGACCAAAUGUAGGCCAAUACUCAAGGACAAGAAGAGGAAGAGGCUCAAGUGUUAGACGCUCAAAGAGUUGGUAGCCCACCUCAAAGGCUUACAAGAAGUCAAUUCAAGGCAUUAGGAAAUAAUGGAAUGUUGUUUUCUCUUUUUGUAAUAUCUUUGUGUUAGAAGGUGCUUAGAGGGAAACAUAAGACACCUCUUUUGUAAAAGCAUCUUUAGGUCUUUAGUUUAGGAAAAAAAUAGGAAGCUUGGGGGGUGUGAGCUUAGUAGAGGGGUGUAGGCGUAAUAGGGAGGUGCCAAACUAAGAAAAGAAGUCACACCUUCCUCAUGCUCUAAGUUGGCGCCACUUUUAUGUCAUUUGGGGGGUAAUUUGAGUUUAAUUAGCUUUUCAUUUCAGCACCUCUUAGGCUAUAAAUAAAGGUGUUUGCCUUUGUAAAAUUCAGAUUGGAAAUUGGAAUUAGAGAAACUCUACUCAAUUUGAGAGAGAAUUGUGAGAACUUGUCUUCUCCUUCACCUUGUCUUAUCUUGAGUGCAUUUGGUUCUCUCAAGUGGCGGCACUAGCUCACUUAUCUUGGAGCCUUCACCAUCCAAUUGGUGUGAUCAUCAAACCAAGUCCUUCAUCUCCAUAAGUUCUUCUUUCUUUCAUCUCCUAGCUCAUUUGAAUCUAAAACAUGUCUUAGUUUACUUUUCUAGCAUUUUCAUUCGGUAUUCUAGCUUGUUUCUGAAUUUGCUUCGGUUCAUCUUCUCCUUGGCUGUUCCUAUUUGAUUCUUCUUCAUUUCUUGCAUUUUGUUCGGUUCAAUUUCAGCAUUGUAGCUUUCUAUUCGGUCCUUUUUCUUUUAUACACAAUUUAAUCGGUUCAAUUGGCAAUAGAUGGAUCUUCCAUAUGAGUUUGGUGUUUGGUGCAAGUUUUGGUGAGUUCUUAAAACAUAGAACAUUGAUCCAAUUCUAUUAAAAGUGCCUAAGCUAUCUCCAACUCAAGUUGAUUCCAUAGAAUGUCAAAGAAUCAUCUCUAUUUGGCUAGUGGAAUCAUAUCAUGUGGUAUCUAGAAUUUAGGUUUGUUCUUGUUUAAUUUUGAGUUGUGUUGCACUUUAAUUCAAGAGCUCUAUAAUUCUUGUUGUUUACCUUUCUGUUUUUAGGCUUAUUUUGAGUUUUAUUGCUGUUUUCUUAAUUGUGCCUAUCAUGUGUUUGUGUAUUUUCCUUUUUGAAUCCAUACAAGUUUUGUCAUAGUCAUGUUUUUCCAAGAAUGUCAUCACUUCUUGUAGUACUUUUAUUGAAUUUUUUGUUUCUUGCUUUGGUGUAAUACAGUUUUCUGAGUUUGAUACUUGAUCCUUUGUGCAUUUUCUGUUUUAGUUUUGAGUUCAUACUUGUAUUUUAGAUCUAUACAAGUUCCUAUACAUCAUUUCCAUUAUGUCUUUGCUAGUUCUUAAUUCUGUUUUUCAUUCCUGUUAGGAUUCCUCUGUUUUUCUGAAAACGUGCUCACUGUUUCGAUUUAUUGCAAUUGAUUUACUCACUGGAAAUUUCUGAAAUUAUGGAUUUGUGUUCUUUAAAGUGUUAUAAAAGAGUAGAAAAAAGAAGUACUUAAAAAUUCCAAGUACAAAAAAAAUGAUAAAUCAAAAACAAAAAGUAACCGCCCAAACAUGCGCCCUACGAGCCGAAAAAGCAUUAGACUAGGGCAUGAGCGAAGGGAGACAUGCCUUGUCGACACAAGUUCAGAAUAAAACUCAAGGAGCUUAUCGCUAUCCCAGACGUGGCCGACAAGCUAAAGCCACCCCCAAAGAGUGACAAGAGAUUGGGGCCAAGCAGGGGCACCUGGUGCGAGUUCCACAAGGCCUUUGGGCAUGACUUGCAAAACUAUUUGGCACUUGGAUACUAAUUGGCUAAUUUGGUGAAGAAUGGAUUCCUGAAGGAAUACUUAGAGGAAGGUCAUGAAGCCUCAACGGUGGUGACCUUAGCAGGGAUCAGGGACACAAAGUACCAUUCCAUGGCGAGGUUAACACGAUCUUUGGGGGGUUUCUCAUGAGGAGGAUGCACCACCUCCCAGCGAAAGAAGUAUGUUAUAAGGGUGAUGGCAAUAGAAGCACGGGAACCUGACCAGUCACCUGAGCCCGACCUCUACUUCACGAAGGCUGAUUUACAGGAUGUGGUCCCACAUGAUAAUGACCCAGUGGUAAUUUCAGUGGUGAUAGUAGGGAGAAGGGUACACCGAGUCCUCAUCGACCAAGGGAGCUCGACAUAUGUAAUGUUUUGGUCGACCUUCAACAAAUUGGAGUUGUCGCCCGACCAACUGAGACCUUAUGACGGCUGUUUGUACGGUUUUGCUGGAGACCAGGUAAAAGUAAGUGGGCACGUGGAGCUAAGGACGACCUUCACAGACAACACCACGUCCCGCACCGUCAAUAUCAGGUACCUUGUCAUCAACUUACAACAUCCUUUUGGGAAGACCUACCCUGAAUAGGAUAUGAGCGGUGGCCUCAACGAGGCAUAUGAAGAUGAAGUUGCCUUCCCUCGAGGAAACGAUAAUUACCAUUAAGUCUGACCAAAAGGCGGGAAAUAAAUGCUAUGUGAAUAGCUUGAAGACGAACAUAGAGGUGUGCUCGAUCACCAGCCAGCCUUAGGAGGGAGAAGGGAUCACCCGUGUAGAGAUGGGUUGGGAGAGGCGACCUAAGCCUGUAGGUGAGGUGCUGGAAAGGGAGAUCGGGAGAAAGAAGUUUAAGCUUGGCAAAUCUUUAGGCCAGGAAAUACAGGACCAGAUCGCCGAGGUAAUAACACGACAUUUGGACGCCUUUGCGUGGUGUGCCUUGGACAUGCCCGACAUCGACCCUGAUUUCCUAUGCCAUCAUCUCACGAUGGAUCCAAAGGUCAAGCCUGUUUGCUAGAGGCAGAGGAAGUUCAAUGACGAAAGAUGCCUGGUCAUGAGGCAAGAGACCUAGAAGCUGCUGAGUGCGCCACAUAACGGAGAUCCAAUACCCUGAGUGGUUAGCAAACAUGGUGUUGGUCAAGAAGACCAACGAAAAGUGGAGGAUGUGCGUCGAUUUUACGGAUUUGAACAAGGCUUGUCCAAAGUAUUCAUAUCCGUUGCCCAACAUUGACACACUAGUGGAUAACGCGUCAGGUUGCAAACUUCUCAGUUUUCUGGAUGCCUUCUCAGGAUAUAACCAAAUUCGGAUGCAUCCCCAAGACGAAUGCAAGAAAACAUUCAUGACAGAGCUCUCCAGCUAUUGUUAUACGGUGAUGCCCUUUGGGCUAAAAAAUGUCGACGCGACCUAUUAGAGGCUGAUGGACAGGGUUUUCGCCCCUAUGAUAGGGCAAAACGUGCAGGCAUAUGUGGAUGAUAUGAUCAUCACCUCCCAGGAGAAGGACCAACACAUUGCCGACUUAGAGGAGCUAUUCACCACAAUAGCCAGGUAUAAAUUGAAGUUAAAACCCGAAAAGUGCGUAUUCGGGGUAGAGGCAGGGAAUUUCUUAUGAUUCCUCCUCACCGAGUGGGGAAUAAAGGCGAACCCCGAGAAAUGUGCGACGAUCAUAGCUAUGAGAAGCCUGACCUCGGUGAAGGAGGUACAACAAUUGACGGGGCGAAUGGCCGCUCUGUCCCGAUUUGUAUCUGCAGGAGGAGAUAGAGGGCAUCCCUAUCUCCUGUGUUUGAAGAGGGACAACCGAUUUGUGUGGACAAACGAGUGUGAAGAAUCGUUCCUCAAGCUGAAGAAGUACCUGUCCAGCCCGCCAGUUCUGUGCAAGCCGCUGCCAGGUACUCCCCUCCGUCUGUACUUUGCUAUUACAGAACGAGCGAUCAUAGUCCAGGAGCAGGAUUGCAUCCAAAGGCCUAUAUAUUUUGUUAGCAAAGUGCAGCAGGGGCCCGAAGUGCGCUAUCAGGCCAUUGAGAAGGCGGCUCUAGCAGUAGUAUUUGCAGCACGAAGGCUUCGCUACUAUUUCUAGAGCUUCACGGUGAUCGUGAUGAUCGACCUUCCCAUCCGUAAGGUCUUGCAGAAACCUGACGUGGCGGGACGGAUGGUGUGCUGGGCGGUCGAGCUGUCAGAGUUUGAUUUGCAGUAUGAGACGAGAGGACCUAUCAAGGGUCAAGUUUAUGUUGACUUCUUGGUAGAACUCUCCUUGGCAACCACACACCAAGACAAUGGAGAUUUCCAAUGGGUCCUUUCUGUGGACGGGUCCUCUGAGCAGUGAGGCUGGUAUCAUCCAUGAGGGACAAAACGGGCUACUAAUCAAGCAGGCCCUACGAUUUGCUUUCAACUCUAGCAACAACCAAGCUGAAUAUGAGGCCUUGGUGGCAGGAAUGUUGCUAGCCAAAGAGAUGGCUGCCCGAAGUUUGUUAGUGAAGAGUGACUCACUACUGGUAGUCGGGAAAGUU
rnacentral:lncRNA from 1 species